GGCCUUCACUUUGAGAAAAGAAUGUUCCACUCGACGUUCUCUACGGACGAUCGCAAAGAAGGAAUGGACGCUUUCGUGGAGAAACGCAAAGCCAAAUUCACCGACAACUAAUGCUGUGUCGCUCCGUUCUUGUACACAUAGAUCACCGAGUAAGCACUGUGCCCGGCGUUGUAUUGGAGGUCUGGGGAGAACAGAUUCAGUUCACAGAACAAGAGAAAUAAAAAACGACCGAUGUAACGUGAUAUGCAUACUGCAGUAAUAAAAAUGAGCCAUCCUGUAUUUUUCAGUAAUAAAUUAGUGUGUGUUGUAAAGCAAUUGCUAUCCAA